rnacentral:rRNA from 1 species
UGGAGGCAGCAGUGGGGAAUUUUGGACAAUGGGCGCAAGCCUGAUCCAGCCAUUCCGCGUGAGUGAAGAAGGCCUUCGGGUUGUAAAGCUCUUUCGGCAGGAACGAAACGGUUUGGGCUAAUACCCUGAGCUAAUGACGGUACCUGAAGAAGAAGCACCGGCUAACUACGUGCCAGCAGCCGCGGUAAUACGUAGGGUGCGAGCGUUAAUCGGAAUUACUGGGCGUAAAGCGUGCGCAGGCGGCGCUAUAAGACAGAUGUGAAAUCCCCGGGCUUAACCUGGGAACUGCGUUUGUGACUGUAGUGCUCGAGUGUGGCAGAGGGGGGUGGAAUUCCACGUGUAGCAGUGAAAUGCGUAGAGAUGUGGAGGAACACCGAUGGCGAAGGCAGCCCCCUGGGUCAACACUGACGCUCAUGCACGAAAGCGUGGGUAGCAAACAGGAUUAGAUGCCCUAGUAGUCC